rnacentral:rRNA from 1 species
GACGAACGCUGGCGGCGCGCCUAACACAUGCAAGUCGAACGAGCGAGAGAGAGCUUGCUUUCUCGAGCGAGUGGCGAACGGGUGAGUAACGCGUGUGGAACCUGCCUCAAAGAGGGGGACAACAGUUGGAAACGACUGCUAAUACCGCAUAAGCCCACGGUGCCGCAUGGCACAGAGGGAAAAGGAGCAAUCCGCUUUGAGAUGGCCUCGCGUCCGAUUAGCUAGUUGGUGAGGUAAUGGCCCACAAAGGCGACGAUCGGUAGCCGGACUGAGAGGUUGAACGGCCACAUUGGGACUGAGACACGGCCCAGACUCCUACGGGAGGCAGCAGUGGGGAAUAUUGCACAAUGGGGGAAACCCUGAUGCAGCGACGCCGCGUGGAGGAAGAAGGUCUUCGGAUUGUAAACUCCUGUUGUUGGGGAAGAUAAUGACGGUACCCAACAAGGAAGUGACGGCUAACUACGUG